UACAGAGGUCCCGAGCGUUGUUCGGAUUCACUGGGCGUAAAGGGUGCGUAGGCGGUCGGGUAAGUCUGAUGUGAAAUCUCACAGCUUAACUGUGAAACUGCAUUGGAUACUAUUCGGCUUGAGAGUUGGAGGGGGGACUGGAAUUCUCGGUGUAGCAGUGAAAUGCGUAGAUAUCGAGAGGAACACCAGUGGCGAAGGCGGCAUCCUGGACCAAUACUGACGCUGAGGAGCGAAAGCCAGGGGAGCAAACGGG
rnacentral:rRNA from 1 species